CAAGUCGAACGGUAACAGGCCGCAAGGUGCUGACGAGUGGCGAACGGGUGAGUAAUGCAUCGGAACGUGCCCAGUAGUGGGGGAUAGCCCGGCGAAAGCCGGAUUAAUACCGCAUACGACCUACGGGUGAAAGCGGGGGACCGAAAGGCCUCGCGCUAUUGGAGCGGCCGAUGUCAGAUUAGGUAGUUGGUGGGGUAAAGGCCUACCAAGCCUACGAUCUGUAGCUGGUCUGAGAGGACGACCAGCCACACUGGGACUGAGACACGGCCCAGACUCCUACGGGAGGCAGCAGUGGGGAAUUUUGGACAAUGGGCGCAAGCCUGAUCCAGCCAUGCCGCGUGCGGGAAGAAGGCCUUCGGGUUGUAAACCGCUUUUGUCAGGGAAGAAAUCUUCUGGGUUAAUACCUCGGGAGGAUGACGGUA
rnacentral:rRNA from 1 species